GGACGAACGCUGGCGGCGUGCUUAACACAUGCAAGUCGAGCGGAAAGGCCCUUCGGGGUACUCGAGCGGCGAACGGGUGAGUAACACGUGAGUAACCUGCCCUGGACUUUGGGAUAACCCUCGGAAACGGGGGCUAAUACCGGAUACGACACAGCUUCACGCUUGUCUGUGUGGAAAGUUUUUCGGUCUGGGAUGGGCUCGCGGCCUAUCAGCUUGUUGGUGGGGUGAUGGCCUACCAAGGCGACGACGGGUAGCCGGCCUGAGAGGGCGACCGGCCACACUGGGACUGAGACACGGCCCAGACUCCUACGGGAGGCAGCAGUGGGGAAUAUUGCACAAUGGGCGGAAGCCUGAUGCAGCGACGCCGCGUGAGGGAUGACGGCCUUCGGGUUGUAAACCUCUUUCAGCAGGGACGAAGCGUAAGUGACGGUACCUGCAGAAGAAGCGCCGGCCAACUACGUGCCAGCAGCCGCGGUAAGACGUAGGGCGCGAGCGUUGUCCGGAUUUAUUGGGCGUAAAGAGCUCGUAGGCGGCUUGUCGCGUCGGCUGUGAAAUCCCGUGGCUCAACUGCGGGUCUGCAGCCGAUACGGGCAGGCUAGAGUUCGGUAGGGGAGACUGGAAUUCCUGGUGUAGCGGUGAAAUGCGCAGAUAUCAGGAGGAACACCGGUGGCGAAGGCGGGUCUCUGGGCCGAUACUGACGCUGAGGAGCGAAAGCGUGGGGAGCGAACAGGAUUAGAUACCCUGGUAGUCCACGCUGUAAACGUUGGGCGCUAGGUGUGGGGGACCUCUCCGGUUCUCUGUGCCGCAGCUAACG
rnacentral:rRNA from 1 species